UUUGAUAUAAACGAAGAGCGGUAUAUUGACUUUAGUCCAAUUAGUCAUUUGAUUAAAAGAAGAAAGAAAAGCUAAUAAGUCAUUCAAAUAUGUCAUUUUCCCUAUUCCUAUUUUAACUUCAAACGAAUGAACUUUUAUGGCAUGUGAGAUCCUUCUAGUAUUUGUUAAGACAAAUAUCUUUAGUUGAGAAAAAAAAAAAAAAAGUAGGGUCGCAUCUUCUAUUGCUCGUCUUCAAGUGCAAACCUCUCUUUAAGAACAAGUUUCUAUUGUCU
rnacentral:lncRNA from 1 species